rnacentral:rRNA from 1 species
CCUACGGGUGGCAGCAGUGGGGAAUAUUGCACAAUGGGGGCAACCCUGAUGCAGCGACGCCGCGUGAGUGAAGAAGUAUUUCGGUAUGUAAAGCUCUAUCAGUAGGGAAGAAGAAAGACGGUACCUGACUAAGAAGCCCCGGCCAACUACGUGCCAGCAGCCGCGGUAAUACGCAGGGGGCAAGCGUUAGCCGGAUUUACUGGGUGUAAAGGGAGCGCAGGCGGCGGGGUAAGUCUGCGGUGAAAGCCCAGGGCUCAACCCGGGGACGCCGUUGAAAACGGUGGGGCUGAGGUGUUGAGAGGUACGCGGAAUUCGCGGUGUAGCGGUGAAAUGCGUAGAUAUCACGAAGAACCCCGGUUGCGAAGGCAGCUUACCGGACCGACACUGACGCUGAGGCACGAAAGCGUGGGGAUCGAACAGGAUUAGAUACCCUGGUAGUC